GACGUAGGGGGCGAGCGUUGUCCGGAUUUAUUGGGCGUAAAGCGUGCGUAGGCGGCUGCGCAAGUCGGGUGUGAAACCCCGGGGCUCAACCCCGGAACUGCAUCCGAUACUGCGUGGCUAGAGGUAGGUAGGGGAGAUCGGAAUUCCUGGUGUAGCGGUGAAAUGCGCAGAUAUCAGGAGGAACACCGGUGGCGAAGGCGGCAUCCUGGACCGGCAUUGACGCUGAGGCGCGAAAGCUAGGGGAGCAAACGGG
rnacentral:rRNA from 1 species